AUUGAACGCUGGCGGCAUGCCUUACACAUGCAAGUCGAACGGUAACGGGCCUUCGGGUGCCGACGAGUGGCGAACGGGUGAGUAAUACAUCGGAACGUGCCCGAUCGUGGGGGAUAACGAGGCGAAAGCUUUGCUAAUACCGCAUACGAUCUACGGAUGAAAGCAGGGGACCGCAAGGCCUUGCGCGGACGGAGCGGCCGAUGGCAGAUUAGGUAGUUGGUGGGAUAAAAGCUUACCAAGCCGACGAUCUGUAGCUGGUCUGAGAGGAUGAUCAGCCACACUGGGACUGAGACACGGCCCAGACUCCUACGGGAGGCAGCAGUGGGGAAUUUUGGACAAGGGGCGCAAGCCUGAUCCAGCCAUGCCGCGUGCAGGAUGAAGGCCUUCGGGUUGUAAACUGCUUUUGUACGGAACGAAAAGCCUUCUUUUAAUACAGGAGGGUCAUGACGGUACCGUAAGAAUAAGCACCGGCUAACUACGU
rnacentral:rRNA from 1 species